rnacentral:rRNA from 1 species
UACAGAGGGGGCAAGCGUUGUUCGGAAUUACUGGGCGUAAAGGGCGCGUAGGUGGCCAACUAAGUCAGACGUGAAAUCCCUCAGCUUAACUGGGGAACUGCGUCUGAUACUGGAUGGCUUGGAUUCGGGAGAGGGAUGCGGAAUUCCAGGUGUAGCGGUGAAAUGCGUAGAUAUCUGGAGGAACACCGGUGGCGAAGGCGGCAUCCUGGACCGAUAUUGACGCUGAGGAGCGAAAGCUAGGGGAGCAAACGGG